AAUAGCCCAACGGCUGAACCAGCAACUUGGAGGAAUGAAUAGCAAUAGCUAAUUGCACAUACAUAUGAUGCAAUAUCGACUCAGUCGAAUAAAAUUCUGGCUAGAAUUAUGAUAAUGACAUUGUCUAGCCAUGUGUCUUGACUAAAUUACGUGCCAGCAGUCGCGGUAAUACGUAGAAGACUAGUGUUAUUCAUCUUUAAUAGGUUUAAAGGGUACCCAGACGGUAAAUCAAGCCCUAGACGGGACUAAUUUGCUAGAGUUACUUAUGCGGAGGUUUUUAAGUACUAAUGGUGUAGAGAUAAAAUUUUGUAAUACCAUUUUUCGAAAGAAAAGUCAUGGCACUGGUAAAGGCGAAAGCAUCCUCUUAUGUGAUAACUGACGUUGAAGGACGAAGGCUUUGGAUCGCAAAUAGGAUUAGUUACCCUAGUAGUCAAAGCAGAGAAUUAUGAGUGUCAUAGAUUAGAUAUUAAUUUUAUUCUAUAAAUGAAAGUGUAAGCACUCCACCUCAAGAGUAAUUUGGCAACAUUGGAACUGAAAUCAUUAGACCGUUUCUGAANNNNNNNNNNNNNNNNNNNNNNUAAUUUGAUGUCCCGCAAAAAACCUUACCACAGCUUGAAUAUUUAUAUUUUUGAUGUAUUUACAGGAGUUGCACGGCUGUCUUCAGUUAAUGUCGUGAGAUUUUGGUUAGAUCCAUUAAAUUAACGCAAGCCCUUACUUUAUUUAAAUGUUUUUUUUAUUUAAAAAGCAAUAAAUAAAGUAGUUCCCCACUAUAUUGGAUAUGAUAACAGGGACUAAGACAAGUCAUCAUGACAUGAAUGAUGU
rnacentral:rRNA from 1 species